GUCUCGGUCGCCCGCGUCACCCAAAGAAAAAGGACCGGAUGAGAACCCACCCAACCAAUCCCCGUCCUCACACGCUCGGGUGACAGAUCGUCCGGAAACCGGACAGCUGCGGUACGGUCGGCCCCGACAACCUCAUAAACGCAUUCGGCCCCCGACAGGACUGCAAUCCUGACGAGGGCCUGACCAAUCUGGAAGAGAGAAGCUUCCCG
rnacentral:ncRNA from 1 species